AGAAAAAUCAAAGGCUCCAGUAAUGCUGACCAAGAGACUAUUGCAAAAAUGAGUCUCUCAUGCGCACACACACUUAGAGAUGGAAGUCAGAAGGGAGUUUAAUUGGCUCCAUUGAAUUAAUUACAUAUUUGAGUACUGCCGAAGAACAUCAGUCAGAAUUAUCCACAGCGUGAGAUGUUUAAACACCCAACGAGAACCCACCAAGCAGCGAACGCGUUUGGACACGUGUUCACGGUGCAUAAAGACAAGUCAUAGUCUUUGAUAAAGAUAACAAGGGAAAAACAAAUAAACAUUAGAAGGCUUUACUGCCCUCGAACUGACCUGAACCAGAUGAUUAUAGGGAGCUGAGAAAUUGUAACACUGAGCUAAGGUAAUUUGAUGGAGUCAUUAUGGAGAUAAAACUACGGGAGCAUUUCAAACAACACCCAAGGGAUGGAGCUUAAUAUUCAGGAGGCAUUUAGAGGAAAAACACCCUUCCGCAUUCACAAACCUAUUGCUAGUUCUCAGCGCUGGUCAUUUUUCCGCUUGGUUUAGAGUUUGUUAAUUAGGUGUAAUACUGGGGCAGGUUUACCUUAACGAGCCCCCACAGGGGCUCUAAAUGAGACCUUAACGAGGAACCUUGAUUAAAGUUCCCUUAUUAGCAUAUGAUGAGCUGUUCAAAGACACUAUGAGCCUCCUAAAGCUACAAAAUACCUCCAGCUUUAACGAACCGCAGCUUUCCGAGCCUCCUGUUCAUCACAGGAGUGUUUUACAGGCGCACACAACCUCUCCAUACUUUCAUUCUCAUCUCCAGGGCUGUGACGUUCCAUCAGAGCUACUUCCUCUCUGAUUUUCUGUUUCCUGUGCCAUAGUGUCUGACAUUUCUCAUGUCCAGCGGACACCGCAGGUUGAAAUUGUUGUCAAAAGUCACAUAAGAAAGAGAAGAAGAGAUAUAUGGGGGAGAAAGAAUAUCAAAGUCUGCUCUUUAUUUUACUGCCUUUGGACUGGAUUAGCAGCUUAUCAGGUGUACAACAUAUACGUAGAAUGAAAUACUUUUAAUAAUCUUUAAAACUUGAAUGAGGUGUCACUGACAGCUAGGUGAUGGGAAUGAGAGACAGAUAAAUGUGAAUGUGAUAAUUUAUUACAUUAGAUGUUGUACAUAUCAUGGUGAUACAGAGGUGAGCUACUGAGCACAUUUAUUACAAUAUGUAAUGGAAACGUGAAAAUUUAUCUGUCUACAAAUCAUGCACUGUGGUAAUGUUUUUAGGUCAUAAAAUUGUACUGUGCUGGGAAAUAAUUCUUAAUUAACCAAUAAUCAGCUGCUUUAAUUAUAAUUUGUGUGAAAAGUAAUAUAAUUUCUGAACAGUUGCACCAGUUUUCAUUUUAGUUGGAAACUGCAGUGAAUUGUAUGUAUACAGUACACUGUAAAAAACUUAUAUAAAAAGCGUACAUUUUAGAAGAAAAUACUAUUUGGGUUUUUCUAACUUAAAAAUU
ensembl:lncRNA